AGCGUAAAGCUCUGUUUGAAUAGAUUAAAAGUGUUAUUAUUGUGUUUACCAUUAUACGAUGAAUUCUGUGAAUUCUUUCUUCUGUGCAUGAGGAAACAGGCCUGUCUGGAAACAGAUUACAUUAGGGAAAAGUUCUUGGCGAGAGGUAAAGACUAAUGAGUUUGUUAUUGCAGGAAAUCUUGUGAUAUUCUGACUCUGCCAGGCCAGUGUUACAUGGAAUAAUAAGAGCUUGCACUGUGUUUCAGUUGGGAAAGUUUUGAUAUCCCUAAAAGUCCUGCCAGGUCAAAUUGACCUGGCAGUCUGCAUCUUAAUAAAGUCAUGACAGUGUUGUCACGUACGCCAAUCUGAUGUUUUCCAGAUGUUGGGCCGGAGUAUAUUCUCGGAAAGAGUAGAGAUAACAGUGUGAAUGUGCCAAGGAAUGUUAUGUAACGGAGAAUAAUGAUUUCAAUUGGUCAAGAAGGCCUCAAUACACACCAAUGCUUUGUAUCUGUAUAAAAACCGCCUUGCACAGACGGGAGGCAGGGUGACUUCUGGAAUUUGUGAUGAAUAUGACACUGUGUGCUUUUUGAAGAAUAAAAGUACCCUCUCGUGAGUAUUGUUUGAGGAGAGAAUAUUUCUGAGUACUGUUUUAAUUAUUUCGGCUCGGAGAUCCGAUCGCAUCGCUCCCAAAUAUUGGUGGCCCGUACGGGGAGUUCUCUACAGGGAGAGGUUUGCGGUCGCUCCUCUGGAGAGGGGCCUGGCUGGCUGUGGUUCAGGGCCCACAGCAGGAGGAGGUGAGUUCUUGUCUCUUUUCUUGUUGAAAGGAUCUCGGCCUCCCGGGUCCCUCGACUGAGGAGUGAAUAGAUAGAGACUUUGGUCUCUCUCUCUUUUUUUUUUCUCUCUUCCAACAAUCUUCACGAUGCCUUGCAUGCAAGGAGACUGUCUAAAAAAAACAAAGUUGGAAUUGGCUAAAGGCAGUCUUAAAACAGUAGGACUUAUGUCCGUCCUGUUGUGGUGCCAGGACGGACAUACGUCUAUUAUUUAGUACCUGGCGUUAAUACUGAUUCUCUCCGAGAAUUAAUCCUUCUUGCUUAAGAGACAGCUAUUUCAUACACAUAAAAAACUUGAUAGAACAGGUACGUAGGAGACCUUGAAGAAAAUUAGCCGGUGGAUUUAAGUGUAGUAAGAGAAUUGUGCCUCCGUGUGAUUUCCGGAGGGCAAAAAGCACUGGAAAAAAGGCCACAGCUGUUGAAGUUUUACACGUACAUGAUUUGGAGAUUGCAAUGUUGAUUGCAGUGUUUUCUUUUUUGUUUGAGAUCUCUAUGGUGAGCAGUGGUGACCUGUGUUCUGCAGAAGUAUUAAUGUGAUCUUGUUAAAAAGACCAAAGUGAGUUAAGCAAAAAAUUAACUCGUGAGCUUACACAAAGUAAGAGAAUUGAUCAAUUGGGACAUCAAUAAUACUAUAAAUUAGGUUCAAACUCCCCGGGGAAGAACGUCAGGUGUGAGUAUGAGAGUGUGAAGAACAUAUGAAGUUGGUGUGGUUUAUGAAUGGCUUUGAUCAGCGCUAAUUGAGUGAAAGGCAGUGUGUCGACUGGUAUUUUGUGUGUGAUGCAUGUAAAGCGUAUGUCAGAUGGAUGAAUCUCUGAAUGAUGUAUGAACGAUGGUGUUUUGCAUUUAUGUGAGCCGUAUGCGAUGUCAGACUGAAAUCUAUGUGUGUGUGUGGCCAUUAAAGCAAGUUGCAUGUGAUGAGAGACUAAAACUGCAUGUUUUGAUCUUGAUUACCUUAAAUGCUUUCUAAAGGUUCAUUUGCUGUGUUAAAGCAGCAGCUGAGCUUUUGUGUUGCGCACCAGAAGCUUUGCUUUGAUUUGUUUUAUGGUUUCUAGAUUAAGUUUUGAGUUAUGCCCAAGUCAAAUAUAGAUUUAGCUGUUACUGGUUAAAAUUACUGCUUGAAUGUUUUGUUUACUCUUGAGGGAUAGAUCUAAAGAAACUUAUGCAUUUGGAUUAGAAUUAAAGCAUACGUUAAAAUGGGAAGGAGUUUCUGGUAGAAACUGACUGGAAAAAGGAAAAAGGAUCUCUCCAGGCUUAGAGAGAUGGAAUUUCCGGUUGCAAGUUGUGUGCGCGCACUUGAACGCAUGCCAUGUCUUGCGCUUGUGUGACACACAGCACCCACACACAAACACAUACACAUGCAAAGCACACAAACAUAUAACACACAUACACGAGCGCACACACAUGAACCACAGAACAAGACACACAAAUUUGGGGAGCAAAAUGUAUAUAUGAUGGAAAAAUAAAAGUAUGAAUGUCAAAUGCCGGCAUAUGUCUGUCUAAAUGUCUGUCCAUGUGUCUGUGUUGAAUCUGUCUGUCAUACAAGUGGGUUUGUUGUCACUAACAUUUGUUUAUCCGAGUUUUCUUUUGCUUUGUUCUUUAUUUUCGACAAUUUCUUCGCAGAAGAAUGACAGGUUUUUAGGAACUCCUUGGGUGCGGACCUCUUAGUGCUCACAAAGUCCGGACGUAUGAUUGAACAAUUAAAUAGUUUAAAUUCAAGUGAGCGCGGAGUGGUCUGCAGUUACCUUGGAGUCUAAAUUAACUUCACAAAUGCUCAAGAAAAUUGAUAGAAUAUCCAUAAUUAAAGUAAGAAUCCAGGUUUUACUUAAUUUUUUUACCUUUUUUAGUCGAAGCUCAAAGGUUGACUGCCUGAUGUAGGAAGACUUUUGUGAAAAUACAAAGUAAAGUGUUUUUAUUUUCUUAACCAUCAAAGGACAACUGGUUUAAGAUUUUAUGGGGUUUAACUGAAUGUUUAACUGAAGAAUGUUUCUGAAAUGGAGGAAAGUGUUGCACGUCUGUGAAAGUCUGUGUGGGAUUCAGCAUGUGAAUGUGUUGAGAGCAGAGCAUAGGGGGGGCUCCCAGUUCCCCUCCACAGGGACGGAGCUCAAAGGGGGCCGGGCCCAGAGCUUCUACUGUCUACUUUUCAUUUUACUGUAGUUCAUUAAUGUUUUACUGAUAAGAUGGGUCACAUAUCAUUUUGGUUUGCCUUCUACAAAGAAUAAUGAAAGUUUAAUCAUGCAAUUUAUUACAUAUUUUGGAGAAAUUUGAUGAAAAGAAGUUCUCUAAAUGUAUAGAAUCAGAAAUUAAUCUUUAUCAAGGUAUAUUUCUUAUUUUUUGACAUAUUUCAAGGUCUUAGAUUUAACCAUAGAAAGCGUCAACUUUAAAAAUAUUUUAGUGGGUGGAACAAAUUAUUGGAUCAGGUUCAAACUGUUUCAUUAACCUUAAUGUUGGGAUAAUACAAUAUGACAGUCUAUGCUUUAUCCUUGCUUAGUUAGUGUGCAAAUGUGUUUUUAGUGUAAUAUGAGUUUUUAUUAUUUUAUUUUGUUGAACAAUGUAAAAAUCAGAAAGUGAGAGGUGUAACAAACCAAGAGGAAAAAAAUGAAAAACAGAGAAUACAGCUUGAUUUAAUGAUUAAUAUCAAACAGAUGAAGAGAAAUGACUUGUGAUUUAAAUUUACUCAAUUUAAUUAAUUUAUUGUAGGAAGAAAAGGAUUUUACUAGAGAUUUUAGUUGGUCCAUGCCAGAAUUAUUGUUUCUUUAGAUUAAACAUUAGGAGACAGAAUGAUACAAUGACUUAAUAAAACAAAUAAGGAACAGUUAAAAAGUAAUAUGAAUAGCAAGUUACUGGCUUAUGAUAUGUACUAUAUCGCCUUAUCAUUUAAAAAUUACAAUGGUAAUAUUAUGGACUUUGCUUUCGGGAGAACUUUGCCAAUUUUGCCAAGUACCUCAACAAAAUUAAUAUUAGAAAGAUGAAAUUUAAUCGGUUUCUCAAAGUUUUACAAACAGUGGCAUGAUAAUAAUUUACAACUACAAAGUUUUAUGCUUAAGAAUAAAUAAAUAAACAAACAAAUGAACUCAUCUUGCAGAAACAUUAAUGCAGCCAUUAAAGAAUGGAAAUGUUCUGUUAUGGCAGAAGGUUUGAAAAUAUUGUGUCUGUUGUAUCGAGGCAAAGUCUCAUGAAGGAAGCUGCCUGGUAUUUUUUUUUUUUUUUUCUGACUGAUUACUCAGUGAAUUACAGCCUGUUAACACGGAGAACCAAAUUGAACAUCCACAGCAGAGCCUGCGUGGACAACAUAGCACUGGCGCAAGACCUGCUCAGACCUCAGAGGACAGAGAAGAACGCUGGAGCCGAAUAAAAGGCCGAGUAAAGGAAUGGUCUCCACAAACGUUAACAAGGCUUUGGACAGAGCAGCACAAAGCCUCACUGAAUAGCCCGGCCAGAUCAGACCAGAGGCUGUAGAGAUAAAUGCAAGAUGUGCUAAAAAGAUGCACUUAGAUAAAUUAAAUUCAUUUUUUUCUGUUUACAAAACAUGGAAUAACCAAAUAUCUCUCAAAUCUUAAAUUAAAUAAAUAAAUAAAUAAAAUAAAAUAAUUUGGCCAAAUUUGUUUAUUAAUCACUUGGGGACUAAUAACGUAUUUUUGAAAUUGAAUUAGAAUAAGUUACAAAAUUAAACAACUACUGAACAAAACAUUGAUGGCCAUCAUGAGUUCUUUCCUUAGCAAAAUAAUUCAUUGCCUUUUGAGCUCCAACCAGAUGAUAAAUACAAGUUCACUUUAUAAAGGUAUAUAAGAUAUUCAAGACGUUAAAAUGGGAUAAAUUAAAAAGCUCAGAGUAACAAGACAUUUUAAACAAAUUAGUACAGCACUUGAGCAAAUACUGAAAUGGGAAUUAAGAGUCUAACAAAGUCAAAAGUUGCAAAAUCGCUGACGCCCCACUCACUAAGACAUGUUCAAAGGGGGGCGUAGGAGAGCCUGAUGCUUUGACUUAAAAAAGCUGAAGAACUGAUAUUAGAACAGUCUCUAUGAGUUCAGAGGCAGAUUUAGUGAUCAGACUAGGGAAACUAAGUGAAAAUAAUCAAAUAAGUAACCAUACAGGAUCAGAAACAGAUUACCUGUUGGUUGGAAAUUUAAUAUAUAUCUUUGCAUUCAAUUUUAAGCUACCAUUUUCAUUAUAAUUUGAAUCCUUUGGGGCUUGUUUAAUUUAAUUUUUUUAUUUUAUGGGAAUCUUACUUUAAUAUAAAAAGAAAUGUGAAUUUCUGCAAAGCUCUGUUGUUAAUUAAUUUCUUUAUUUUGUUCCUUUCUGCAUAAGAAAUAGGUUCAUGUCUGACGUUACCAGGAUCUCCUUUGAAACUGUCAAUUAUGAACUAUGUGCAGCGACACAGAUUAACAUUAUGGGACCAGAGAUCUUUCAUGGUGGAACAGAUUCAGCCUCACUAUUAAGUGACACAAACAGGCCCAGGGUUUGAUUGCAUGAGUUGCAUUUAUAAUCUGACUAACAAAUAAUUAACUGUAUUGCUUUAAGUUUUCUCUUUUCUUUUUUCAGAAGCUGCUAAUCUUUUGCAUUCUACCCACCUUGUUCCAAUGGAAGAUGUGCAAAUGUUAUCAAAUGCUCUGUUACAUAGGGGAAGGUAAGGUACAUAAAUAACCGUAAUGUUGCCUCAUGAUUUAUCUAAUGGAGACUGGAGGUGGCCAUAGGGAUACCGGUGAGUCAUUCCUACAAUACAAUCCAUGUGUCGAAUACAUUUGAAAAGUAAAGCAUUCACACAGUUAGGACAACAAGUAAGCGAAGGGACAAUUAAAAACAAUUUUCAGUUGCUAGGUAGACUAUAUAGCAAACUAGGUGUAGAACAUUUGACAUAUUUGAUUUAUUGUAUAGCACUUUAAUAAGUUGCUUCAAAAAAUAACACUGUUGAAUAUUCUUCCUUUUAUUUCUACUUUUUAAGUAUUUGUGCUAAAUUUGAAAUUGUUGAGAAACAUCAUUGUUAGCAAACAGUAGUUUUCCUAAAGAUUACAGGCAUAAAAAUAUGUUGAGGAAUAGAAUUGUGGAACAUUGCAAAACAUUUCACGACUUCAGAUAGUUGUUUAUGAUGUUAGACAGGAGGCGACUUGCGUAGAAUUACGCUUUUAGUAGAUAAAAUUCAAGAGGAAAAGUUUUUCGAAUGACAGAACUGGCAGUUCUGAGUUUUUUGGUCGAAGGAGUAUUUAUUUAUUUGUUUUUGUUGAGGAUUGCAGGGAAAGGAAUUUUGCUCUUUGUCAUAGUCGCAAAUUUAACCUUGAAAUUUGAUCUUCAGGAGACUGAUAGAGUAUUUUAGAUGUAAAGCGAAAAUAGAUUUUAGAAGCCUUUAUUUACAAACCACCACCGGGAACUAACUGCAAAACCAAUAUGAUUAAUAUGCAACUUAUUUUGAGAAAUGAAUGAACUGGAAAAAAGCAGAACAAACGAUGAUUUAUGCACAAAAUCAAACAUAAGGUUAGUGAUUAUAAGGUUUCUUCAAGGAUACUGAUCAGAGACAGACAGAACUCUGAGGAACUAUGAACAUUCUUGUGAUAAAAGUCGUCCAACAACAACUGGAGCCAGACAGCAUUUGGCUCAAUCUCACUACACUACAUGUUAAGGACUAACGGAUGAGAAAAUAAAGGAAUUUAGGGCUAGGAAUACAAAUGCACAACAAAGUUCAAAUGAUAGUAAUGGCAAAUUAUGACAGUUUUAAUGAUUGAAGGUGUUACCCUAGAUCCCAAGAAAAACUCUGUGGGAAGUUUAACCUCUAACAUAUUAGCUGAGAAUGUAAGUCCAGGAAACAUUCUUCAAAAGGCCCAGUAGUUAGGAAAUGUUUUUUGGAUUAGAUCCCAGAACAGAGACAGAGAUAAUAAGUAUAUAAAGAACAGGGUUUUGACUUAGGAAAGUUGCUUAGAGAAUUUAAAACAAGAACUUGAAUAAAUUUACAAUCCUGCACGACUGAAAGGUUUUUACAUUAUAGGAUACUGGAUUCUAAGUCUUCGCAAGUAAGUCUUUCACAGAUAAAUGAGUGUUUGAGAUGCACAAUGGUAGUAUAUAUGUACAAAAUAAAAUGGGUUUCUUGUUUUCUUUAAACAAUGGAUUUUAUUAAAUGUUUGUUACUGUAGGGAAACUAUUAGGAAAAAGCAAUGUCCCCUUCAAGGCGAAAUGUAGUUGACACCUCUGUCGCAAACAGAGAAAGUGCCAUGUGAUCUGGACGUCUUUCAAUAAUUAUAUGGGGAACUUUCUGAUUGUGUGUACAGACAAUUAUAAAUUAACAUAAUCUUUGUUAGUGGAAAACAGCAGCGGUGUUUGACGUGGCUAUAAACAAGGUCUCAGAAUGUUAGCAAACUAAGAGGUUUAUAUCAUAGGAGGGAGGAAUGAACUGCCUCCCUUUGGAAUUGGUUAUCUUCUGUUUUGAGAACUUCCAGGCGUUGUCUCUACAAUGCCAAACAUCAUCACAUUCCUUGAACAAAGCACAAAAUUGCAGACUCCAUUAAGUAUUCGCACCCUGAAUACAGAGAAAUAAGGGCUAAACACUUGGCAUAGAAGUUAAAACUUAUCUUUUAGAUAAGAAUGUGAAACUGACAAUACUGGCAGGAGAGACAAAGUAUCAUAAAAUUUGAUUAUUUGUGCAGAAGCAGUGGUUAAUUAAGUUAGUAUCAUUAAGAUACAACAUUAUGCACACAUACAAGGACACAGAAUGUCAAUAAACAAGAAAACUUUGAAUGCUGAAAACUGACUUCAUCUGAAAGCUUGCAGUAACAGGAUGAAGUUGAUUAUAGAAUAUCAACGGAAAUCUGAUACAUUAUCAAAAUAGCAGAAACUGGGAUGCAUCAUCUCAAACAUGCAUCUCUCAUUUAAAAACAGCAUCUAAUAUCAAAAAAGAAACAUUUAUCUGUGAGUGAGAGAACCAUUUGAAGUACAUAAGUAACAAGGCUCAUGUCGUCAGUCGAAUAAGAGGGAAACCUGAGCUUAUCUGUGAAGCCUGAACAACACAUCUAAAUGUUCUGAUGUAUCUCUCUGAUCAAAGGGGGGUUAAGUCAGAAGUUUAUGAGAUCGAUUUAAGAAUAAAAUAACACAUGAGGUGAGGUCACACACGGUUUUAUAAAAUGACAAAUUUCUGAAUGAUAAUAAAAUGCGCACCAGACAUACUAUUUUUAGGCACUGGAUCAAAUUGAAGACUGUUUAACUUAUUUUGACUUACUGUACAAAAACACAGUAGUUAGCAAUGUUAAUCUAUUAUUUUUCAGAAUAAUGUCUGAGAAAUGCAUGGUUUAGAACAAUAUCUGUGCUGAUAGGGCGAGGUAGAAUGGCACUUCAUGCUUCCAGGGGAAAAGGUGAUUGCUUGAGCUAUCUGUGCUAACUUCUGUUUAUUUCUUUUGCGUGAAAACCCUGUGAAUAUAAUUGAUUAUCACUGCUAAAAGGAGCAGUUCAGAUCUCUCUAUCAGUAGCCUUUUUACAGGUGAUGAGAGGGAACCAAAUUGACCUACAGAACAUUACCCUUCGUUGAUGUGGAGGCUGGACCUGGGUUGUCGUUCAGAGAACUUUUAGAAGAAAGUUCUUUCUGAAUGGAAAAUGGUUUGACCAUUUAUUUUAUUUCUUAAGAACUUUAUGUAUUUUUUUUAUUUGCUGCAGCACAAUUUUACUCCAGAAGUUUAAUUUCUGCUCAUAAUUAUUUUGUUUUCUGAGAUUCCUAUGUACUCGGGGCUGGAGUUGAGCACUGCUGUGAAAGUUAUCACACCCUGUUCAUAUCAUCAUCACAUUGGACUAUGAUAAAGGAGGACGUUGAGGAAAUACAGGAAAAAGGACACUAAGGAAAUACAGAAAAGAAUGACACCAAUCCAGAGACUGGCCGUACAAGUAACCUUUUUGGGCGUUGGACUCAGAGACCGAUGGACAUAUGAAGACUUUGUGGGACCCUGAACCAGGAUAAAUGCGAUGCCAGAACAAUAAAGUUGAAAAGACCAAUCUCAGAGACUAAAGAAGGUUCAAGGAAGACCAAGGACAGAGACUGAACUACACUGAUUUUCUGCUGAGAAUUUUACUGAUGUUUUUCUAUGUUCUGUUAUAACUUCGAAUUUGUCUUUAUGUCAUUUUAAUGUUCUGAAUUGUUUCAAGCUGUUUAUGCACUCUGAUAGAAUGGGAGCAUCCAUUCUUGUGAUAUUCAGCUCCAGAGUUUCAACAUGGUCAUUGUUUUCUGUUACAUAUAUUGUGGUGAAUAGGAAUGAUGAACCAGGACCUAAAAUAGAUGAUAAUGAUGCAUAUUAGAUUCAAUACAGGGAUCUCUUGUUCAGAUUGGCCGAGAAUGAGAUUUCUCUGAGGCCUCCAGAUGUUUUUCCCCGCCUUUUAGGACAGGUGGGUUUUUCGACUGGUGUGCCCUAAGCCGAUACGUAAGCUUGGGAGUUUGGCAGGAAAUCUUGUGAUAUUCUGACUCUGCCAGGCCAGUGUUACAUGGAAUAAUAAGAGCUUGCACUGUGUUUCAGUUGGGAAAGUUUUGAUAUCCCUAAAAGUCCUGCCAGGUCAAUUUGACCUGGCAGUCUGCAUCUUAAUAAAGUCAUGACAGUGUUGUCACGUACGCCAAUCUGAUGUUUUCCAGAUGUUGGGCCGGAGUAUAUUCUCGGAAAGAGUAGAGAUAACAGUGUGAAUGUGCCAAGGAAUGUUAUGUAACGGAGAAUAAUGAUUUCAAUUGGUCAAGAAGGCCUCAAUACACACCAAUGCUUUGUAUCUGUAUAAAAACCGCCUUGCACAGACGGGAGGCAGGGUGACUUCUGGAAUUUGUGAUGAAUAUGACACUGUGCGCUUUUUGAAAAAUAAAAGUACCCUCUCGUGAGUAUUGUUUGAGGAGAGAAUAUUUCUGAGUACUGUUUUAAUUAUUUCGGCUCGGAUAUCCGACCGCAUCGUUCCCAUAUUCUAAUGUAAAUGUAAAUAUUAGGGCUGCUGUAUGUCAUCUGUUCAAUGAUUAAAGGACCCUAACGUUAUUCAA